UACGGAGGGGGCUAGCGUUGUUCGGAAUUACUGGGCGUAAAGCGCACGUAGGCGGCUUUGUAAGUUAGAGGUGAAAGCCCGGAGCUCAACUCCAGAAUUGCCUUUAAGACUGCAUCGCUAGAAUUGUGGAGAGGUAAGUGGAAUUCCGAGUGUAGAGGUGAAAUUCGUAGAUAUUCGGAAGAACACCAGUGGCGAAGGCGACUUACUGGACACAUAUUGACGCUGAGGUGCGAAAGCGUGGGGAGCAAACAGG
rnacentral:rRNA from 1 species